rnacentral:rRNA from 1 species
CGCCAGCUAAGGUCCCAAAGUCAUGGUUAAGUGGGAAACGAUGUGGGAAGGCCCAGACAGCCAGGAUGUUGGCUUAGAAGCAGCCAUCAUUUAAAGAAAGCGUAAUAGCUCACUGGUCGAGUCGGCCUGCGCGGAAGAUGUAACGGGGCUAAACCAUGCACCGAAGCUGCGGCAGCGACGCUUAUGCGUUGUUGGGUAGGGGAGCGUUCUGUAAGCCGUUGAAGGUGGCCUGUGAGGGUUGCUGGAGGUAUCAGAAGUGCGAAUGCUGACAUAAGUAACGAUAAUGCGGGUGAAAAACCCGCACGCCGGAAGACCAAGGGUUCCUGUCCAACGUUAAUCGGGGCAGGGUGAGUCGACCCCUAAGGCGAGGCCGAAAGGCGUAGUCGAUGGGAAACAGGUUAAUAUUCCUGUACUUGGUGUUACUGCGAAGGGGGGACGGAGAAGGCUAUGUUGGCCGGGCGACGGUUGUCCCGGUUUAAGCAUGUAGGCGGAUGUUCCAGGUAAAUCCGGAACGUUAUUAACGCUGAGGUGUGAUGACGAGGCACUACGGUGCUGAAGUGACAAAUGCCCUGCUUCCAGGAAAAGCCUCUAAGCAUCAGGUAACAUCAAAUCGUACCCCAAACCGACACAGGUGGUCAGGUAGAGAAUACCAAGGCGCUUGAGAGAACUCGGGUGAAGGAACUAGGCAAAAUGGUGCCGUAACUUCGGGAGAAGGCACGCUGAUGGUAAGUGAAGCGACUUGCUCGUGGAGCUGAAAUCAGUCGAAGAUACCAGCUGGCUGCAACUGUUUAUUAAAAACACAGCACUGUGCAAACACGAAAGUGGACGUAUACGGUGUGACGCCUGCCCGGUGCCGGAAGGUUAAUUGAUGGGGUUAUCCUCGCGGAGAAGCUCUUGAUCGAAGCCCCGGUAAACGGCGGCCGUAACUAUAACGGUCCUAAGGUAGCGAAAUUCCUUGUCGGGUAAGUUCCGACCUGCACGAAUGGCGUAAUGAUGGCCAGGCUGUCUCCACCCGAGACUCAGUGAAAUUGAACUCGCUGUGAAGAUGCAGUGUACCCGCGGCAAGACGGAAAGACCCCGUGAACCUUUACUAUAGCUUGACACUGAACACUGGUCCUUGAUGUGUAGGAUAGGUGGGAGGCUUUGAAGUGUGGACGCCAGUCUGCAUGGAGCCGUCCUUGAAAUACCACCCUUUAAUGGCUGGUGUUCUAACGUGGGCCCGUGAUCCGGGUUGCGGACAGUGUCUGGUGGGUAGUUUGACUGGGGCGGUCUCCUCCUAAAGAGUAACGGAGGAGCACGAAGGUCAGCUAAUCCUGGUCGGACAUCAGGAGGUUAGUGCAAUGGCAUAAGCUGGCUUGACUGCGAGCGUGACGGCGCGAGCAGGUGCGAAAGCAGGUCAUAGUGAUCCGGUGGUUCUGAAUGGAAGGGCCAUCGCUCAACGGAUAAAAGGUACUCCGGGGAUAACAGGCUGAUACCGCCCAAGAGUUCAUAUCGACGGCGGUGUUUGGCACCUCGAUGUCGGCUCAUCACAUCCUGGGGCUGAAGUAGGUCCCAAGGGUAUGGCUGUUCGCCAUUUAAAGUGGUACGCGAGCUGGGUUUAGAACGUCGUGAGACAGUUCGGUCCCUAUCUGCCGUGGGCGCUGGAGAAUUGAGGGGGGCUGCUCCUAGUACGAGAGGACCGGAGUGGACGCAUCACUGGUGUUCGGGUUGUCAUGCCAAUGGCAUUGCCCGGUAGCUAAAUGCGGAAGAGAUAAGUGCUGAAAGCAUCUAAGCACGAAACUUGCCCCGAGAUGAGUUCUCCCUGACUCUUUGAGGGUCCUGAAGGAACGUUGAAGACGACGACGUUGAUAGGCCGGGUGUGUAAGCGCAGCGAUGCGUUGAGCUAACCGGUACUAAUGAACCGUGAGGCUUAACCUU